UCUAGCUUUGAUGAAAUACAAGAAGUGGAACUUGUUGGUCAACACAUUAGAAAAACAGAUGGAGAAGCAAAGAAGUGUGUGACAUAACACAUGCAGAAAUUUGGAUCUCUCCAAUUAAUCAUGGUUCACAGCUGACAAAAAGAGUGGUGCACAUUGGAUCAAACCAUCACCGCAACCAUCAUCACUAGGAAAUGACAAUGCCAUCACCUGCAAGCAGGCCAUGAAAUGAAGGAACAAAUGAAUCAACAAUACCUCCUUGGGCUAAAAUGCAAAUCUCUCCAAAGCCCAAAGCCAUGAAAGAAUAUCCUUGCGCUGUGGACCAGUUUCUCUGACCAGCCCAUGACUGACUGAUACAGGCACUGCUAUUGCCCUUUAAGGUAAGUGUUCUAUAUGUUUAUGUAUAUGUGUGUAUAGUGAGUUGUUGAGAGAGGUAGUUUUUAAUCCAUUAAAAUAUUUCAACUUACCAUUUUAUUUUUAUUCUACCAAGCACACGAAAUAUCUUACUAUU